rnacentral:SRP_RNA from 1 species
GCCGGGCGUGGUGGCGGGUGCCUGUAAUCCCAGCUACUCGGAAGGCUGAGGUAGGAGAACUGCUUGAACCUGGGAGGUGGAGGUUGCAGUGAGCCCAGAUCGUGCCACUGCACUCCAGCCUGGGUAACAAGAACGAGGCUCUGUUAAAAAAAAAAAAAAAAAUCACAGGCCAAAAAAAGCUAUUGUAGGACCGGUCUGCCCAUCAUUGUGCUUUUUUGUUGUUGUUGUUGGAGAGGGACUCGCCCUCUGUUACCCAGGCUGGAGUGCAGUGGCACGAUCUGGGCUCACUGCAACCUCCACCUCCCAGGUUCAAGCAGUUCUCCUACCUCAG